rnacentral:rRNA from 1 species
GUGCCAGCAGCCGCGGUAAUACGUAGGUGGCAAGCGUUAUCCGGAAUUAUUGGGCGUAAAGCGCGCGUAGGCGGUUUUUAAGUCUGAUGUGAAAGCCCACGGCUCAACCGUGGAGGGUCAUUGGAAACUGGAAAACUUGAGUGCAGAAGAGGAAAGUGGAAUUCCAUGUGUAGCGGUGAAAUGCGCAGAGAUAUGGAGGAACACCAGUGGCGAAGGCGACUUUCUGGUCUGUAACUGACGCUGAUGUGCGAAAGCGUGGGGAUCAAACAGGAUUAGAUA